rnacentral:rRNA from 1 species
GACGAACGCUGGCGGCUUGCCUAAUACAUGCAAGUAGGACGCAGUUGCGAAUGGGCGAUUAACGCGUCGGUAACUGCCUAUUAGAGGGGGCUAACUAUUGGAAACGAUAGCUAAUACCGCAUACUAGUAGAAUGACCUGCGUUGUAUUAUCUCGUAGGUAGGGUCAUGGGCUACCUAGGCAACGAUACAUAGCCGCCCUGAGGUGGUGGUCGGCCCAACGGGGACUGGGAACCGGGCCAGACUCCUACGGGAGGGAUCAGUGGGGAAUGUUCGGCAAUGGGGGGAAACCUGACCGAACAACGCCGCGUGAGUGAAGAAGGUUUUCGGAUCGUAAAGGUCUGUUGAUAAGGGAGCGGUACUUGACCAGAAAGGGACGGCUAACUACGUGCCAGCAGCCGCGGUAAUAC